CUACGGGGUGCUGCAGUGAGGAAUACUGCACAAUGGGGGGAACCCUGAUGCAGCAACGCCGCGUGGAGGAUGACGCAUUUCGGUGUGUAAACUCCUUUUAUAUGUCAAGAAAAUGACGGUAGCAUAUGAAUAAGCACCGGCUAACUCCGUGCCAGCAGCCGCGGUAAUACGGAGGGUGCAAGCGUUACUCGGAAUCACUGGGCGUAAAGGACGCGUAGGCGGGUUGGAAAGUCAGGUGUGAAAUCCUACAGCUUAACUGUAGAACUGCACUUGAAACUUCUAAUCUAGAGUAUGGGAGGGGGAGAUGGAAUUAGCGGUGUAGGGGUAAAAUCCGUAGAUAUCACUAGGAAUACCUAAAGCGAAGGCGAUCUCCUGGAACAUUACUGACGCUAAGGCGUGAAAGCGUGGGGAGCAAACAGGAUUAGAUACCCGCGUAGUC
rnacentral:rRNA from 1 species